AAAUGGCGCCGUUGCCGGGGAAGGUGCUACUUCACUGUGAAUAUAUCAGCCGGAGGUAACUUGUGAGACUUCUCAUGAGUAAGGUGAAUUCUAUCUCAUUUUUUUUUAUUUACUAACUUUUUAUUUUAAUUUUAGAACAUUUUUAACUUAGUUUAGAUAAGUUUCUUUUAGCUUUUAACUUUCAUUUUUAGUUUAUUUUUCAUACUCUGUUUUUCCUUCCGCAUGCUCUGUUUUUUUUUUUUUUCUUUUUCUUUGUUUUGUUUAUUUGUUUUGUUCCAACUGAAUCCAUGCAUGCCCU
rnacentral:lncRNA from 1 species